rnacentral:lncRNA from 1 species
UAGGGCAUUGUAGCUGGGUGAAGGGUACUGCUUCUUGGCUCUGUGCCCAUGCUCUGGCCACUCCCCCUCCCUGCCUGAGGGUAACAGGGAAAUGGGAGGGCCUUUGGGCUGGGGACAACCCUGCUGCUUGCACUCUGCAUAGAGAAAGCAUGAGGAGAACAGAGGAAGAGAGAGCAGGAAAGAAACAGAAGAUGCAGGCUGAUGGUUCAGAAGAUCGGGCAGGAAGCAGCCUCAAUGAGGGUCUAUCACAGCCUACAGACAGCACAGAAACCAUCCCAACACAGCUGCCCUGCAAGCUGGCAUCUACCCCAGGAUACAGCCUGCCCGAGGGCUCAAAACCCCAGGAUUGCAGUUUCCCUUCUGUCUGGGCCCUCAGGUGAGCUGGACCAGGUCUCUUUGCUACCAGACUGUGAGAAUGGUUUCCACCUGGGGACCCAGAGCACUACCAGCAUCCAGCACAGGUGUACAACAGACAUUUGUGGGAUGAAUGAACACAGGAUAAAUGAAGACUUCUAGAAACCCUUCCUCCUCUACACAAGGCUCCAGGCAUCCUUAUAAAUUUAUAAUCUUAUAAAUUAAAGAUGACUCCUUCUUGACUAUAAGUAGAAAGAAGGCUUCAGUUAAGUGAAGAUCCAGUUAAGUCAGGUUUACUCUGUCCAAGAAGCUCAACUUUUGCCACCCAGUUUUAACACCUGAUGGUGGCACAGUUGCACCACAUACAAUUUUCAGGACUCUGAUGAAUGCGCUGGGCGUUUCUGCACUAACCCUCCUAACCAGUGUGCCAAUGGGAUUUGGCAAAACUAUGAGCAGUGACAGAAUGACAGAACCAAGGAAUCAUGAGAUUUGCUAUAAGCAAGACAGAGAGCCAGGAAAUGAGGAGGGGAGAGCGCUCUGGGCUGUGACUCUGGGUUGGCUGGAGCACACCCCGGAGUGGCACAGGGCUCAGGGCUGGCACUUCCUCCAAGACUUGCUCUGGGGCCAGGUCCAAGACUACAAUCUCCUUGCUGUUUUUCCAUGGCAGUAGCUUAGACUGUAGUUCUCUGCCAUGAAGUGGUUCAGAG